rnacentral:rRNA from 1 species
AAUCUAAACUUUAAAUUUUUAUAAUUUAAAGUCAUGUGAUUUUCUAAACUCAUUGAAAUUUUUAUAAAUUAUGAUUGAAUUCAUAACUAUAAAGAGUUAUAGUCUCGUUAUUUAAAAUUUCAAGCAUGGGAAUUAGAAUUAAAGAGUCGGGUAGCUUGAGAAUGCUGCCUUAAUAUAGGUGGUACACCCCAUCUAAAGCUAAAUAUUGUAAAGAGACCGAUAGCAUACAAGUAGUGUGAACGAAAGAUGAAAAGAACUCCUAAACGGAGAAUUAAAAGCGCCUGAACUUGUCUAGGUUUUCGCAUUUCUUUAAUGCGCCCGUCUUGAAACACGGAUUAGGGAGUUUUACUUAAAUACGAGUCUUUAACUUUUAAAGUAAUUUUUUUAAAAAAGGCGAAAAGAAAUUAACUGGUUUUUUUAACAUGGCUAUAGAGUAUUUAAGUCAAAACCCGAAUGGAGGUGAACUAUUCCUGCAAAGAUUGAAGUCAGGGGAAACUCUGAUGGAAGAUCGUUGGCGUUAUUGAUGUGCAAAUCAUUUGCUUUAUGUAGGUAUAGGUGCGAAAGACUCAUCGAACCUCCUAAUAGCUGGUUUCCUCCGAAGUUUCCCUCAGGAUAGCUGUAACAUUUUUAAAUAGUUAAGGAUAGUAGAGAAAUGGGUAGAGGUGUAGUGGAACUACGGUUCUGCAACUUAUUUCCAAACUUCGAACGUUCUUGAUAUAAAAAAUUACCUAAUAGGAAUUUUUUAUUUAAAUAUAUGUUAUAAGUGGGCUCUGACCGGUAAGCGGUCAUGGCGAAAAGGGAUGAACCUAACGUAUAAAUAAGGUGCCUAAAUUUACUAACAAUGAAACCAUUAAAAGAGUCCAUGUAUUUAGACAGCGGGUCGGUGCCCCUAAAAGCAGGUAUCCGUUAAUGAGUGUGUUAAAACUCCCCCGCCGAAUACUCUGGCCUUGAAAAUGAAUGGCGCAUAUAGUAAUACCGAUAUUAUACAUUAAAAUUAUUUAAAAAUUUUAAAAGUAGGGGGAUGUGGAUAUCUUAGAGAAUUUUUAAUUGUAAAAUUGAAUUGAAAGAUAUCUAUUACAGAUCCUAAUUGAAGUAGCGAUUAUCCAGGUUAAUCUCCUGGGGGCUGAUGAGGAGUAGGGUUUCUGGGCAACUUAAACGGACCCAGAGUUAGUCGAUCCUAAUCAAAUUAAAUUUAGAGAAAGGGAAUAUGAAUGAUAUUUCAUAACUAAAAUUAAUUUUUAAAUGGUGACAUUUUUUUAAACUUAUUUCCAUCAAUUAAAUACUGUUUAAUAGGGAUUUCUUUCCUAUAUAACUUUUUAAUUAAAACUUAAGAAACAGGUUAACUGGAGAAUAAAGUUUUAAUUUAGUAAAAUUAUAAUUUCGAUUAUAAUAACGGCUAUUUAAAUGAUCCAUGAAACAAUAAGUUUAUUUUUUCAAAAAUUAAUUUAAUCGUACCGAUAACCGCAUCAGGUCUCCAAGGUGAGUAGCUUCUGGCCAUUGAGUAAUGGUAAUUUAGGGAAUUCGGCCAAUUAGAGCUGUAACUUCGGGAUAAAGCUUGGCUCUGAUGGAAAUCAGAACCGAUAGUUACAAGGAGAGCCCAACUGUUUAAUAAAAACUUAGUGUCGCGUCAUACCUUUAUAAGUAAUAAACGUGACAUGAAUCCUGCUCAGUGCUGUGUUUGUUAAACUGGAUUAAUCCAUUUAAGCGCCGGUAAAUAGCUGGGGUAACUAUGACUCUUAUCAAAGUAGCGAAAUACCUCGUCACUUAAUUAGUGACCUGCAUGAACGGAGCUAUGAGGUUCUCACUGUCCCAAAUUAUCACUCAGCGAACCAACAGUUGUGGGAACGGGCACAAAUUAUCCAGCGGGGAAAGAAGACCCUGUAGAGCUUCACUUUGGUCUAAUCUUGUAUAGUUUCGUUAGGGGUGCAGUCUAGGUGGGAGAUUUUUAAUCAAAUAUGAGAAACCACUACCCUUUCUGGAAUUAUACUUACUAAAAUUCUUUUCUAAAUUUUAGGAUCGGAUUAGAUAGAAAGUUUGGCUGGGGCGGCACACCUUCGAAAAAGCAGCGAAGGUGUCCUAAGUUAAGCUCAGUAAGGACAGAAAUCUUACGUUGAGGAUAAGGCCAAAAGCUUAAUUUACUGUGCCUUUUUGUACUAGGAUCAGUUUGGAAACAAAGGCCUAACGAUCCCUAAUUAGUCUUAGGUGUGUAAGACUUGGGGUGACAGACAAGUUACCUCCGGGACAACUGGCUUGUGGCUGCUAAGAGAUCAAAUCAACGCAGCUUUUUGAUUCUUCGAUGUCGGCUCUUCCC